ensembl:lncRNA novel transcript, antisense to EMP2
GGCACAGGUGGAUGUGGGCACUGAAUGUUGUACAGCAGUGGCAACCAGCCGGGAAAAUCCAUAGGAUCAUUUCAGACCGCAUUCAACACAGAUACUCAUGUAGCCCCGACGUUUCUUGUGAAGGGAAUUGAUGUAUUGCUUGAGGGGGUCGAUCUCUGGUUCUAAGGUGUUUUGUUUGUUUCCAUCGUGACUACCAGAAAAUUAUAGAAGGCCAGACGCAGUGGCUCAUGCCUGUAAUCCCAGCACUUUGGAAGGCUGAGGCUCUAGAAAUAGGGGUGAGAGGCCAGCCAGGUGUAGCAUGAAGGGCUGGACAAGAAGGGAGAGGCCUUCUGGGAUAAGAUGGGAAGGAGGCUGUACCCCACACCCUGAAGGUGUCUAUGAGUUCACAUGGCUCAGGAAUGGAGUUUUGGGGCCCUAGAUGUAGACAGCUGUGGCGAUGGAGGCCAAGGUUUUGGCCUGCUGUGGGGGUUGCAUUCACCUCCCCAUCUCCACAUGACGAUACCCCAGCAUUUACGAGGCAGCUCUGCUGACCU